rnacentral:rRNA from 1 species
AACGAACGCUGGCGGCAUGCCUAACACAUGCAAGUCGAACGAGACCUUCGAGUCUAGUGGCGCACGGGUGCGUAACGCGUGGGAACCUGCCCUUAGGUUCGGAAUAACUCCCCGAAAGGGGUGCUAAUACCGGAUAAUGUCUUCGGACCAAAGAUUUAUCGCCUUUGGAUGGGCCCGCGUUGGAUUAGCUAGUUGGUAGGGUAAAAGCCUACCAAGGCGACGAUCCAGAGCUGGUCUGAGAGGAUGAUCCGCCACACUGGGACUGAGACACGGCCCAGACUCCUACGGGAGGCAGCAGUGGGGAAUAUUGGACGCUGGGCGAAAGCCUGAUCCAGCAAUGCCGCGUGAGUGAUGAAGGCCUUAGGGUUGUAAAGCUCUUUUACCCGGGAUGAUAAUGACAGUACCGGGAGAAUAAGCUCCGGCUAACUCCGUG